GAGAUCCUCCUCUUUUGGUAUCUUCUAGUGAGUUCAACCCAAGGCUUCCAUGGAAAUCUUUCAGACUAUUUACUUUCAGAGACACCUACAAAGAUCAGCAGACUACUCUUCCUAAGGAGCAGUAAUCACAGGAUAUUCUCUGAAGGAUUAAUCGGAUUUCAAGGAACAGAUAAUCCACCACGUGGCAACUUUUCUCCUCAGCAGUUUUUCCUACUAAUUCUAAUGAUGAACAGGAACCAGUGAACAACUAUGACUGUCAUAUUGCAUAUUGUUUAUAAAGGUUUCAGCCUGAAAGUUAUCAUGGGAGAAGACAGAAGAAAUCAUCAUCUUUGCAGUUCUUGAAUGGAAAAUUACUGACAACAAUGUACCAGCCUACACAGAAGAGCAUGAUGCAGGAGAAACAGAUGAGAGUAAAGGUCAUAAUUUAGUUUUCUGCUCCAUGUGAGUCAGAAGAGCAAUUUCUUGUGUGGAUGACGUGUUUCAUUUCAAAGGAUGUGACAUUUCCAUUUUGCCCUUGCUGCCCAGGAGACAAGACAAUAAUGUGUCACAAAUCAGACUUAGAGGAGGUGGUCAGGAUAAGAGAACAAUCUAAGCUCUUGGGAUUCUGGUUGUGUACUCACUGUGGAUGCUAUUAGAAAACAUUUCACACCUACAAGCUGCAAUCUGUAUUAUUCCAAAUGAGAGAAUUGUUCUCUGAAAUAUUAGUCAGGGUUUGGUGAAUAUGCUACUGAUGUUAUGGAUCGCCUGAGGUGCAUCUGCAAAGGCCUCUCAAGAGACUCUGGGAGCUCCCUUGCCUUACUGAUUCAUUCAAGUAAUUCAUCCUUGAAGUGGCUGAGUGUAGCUUUGGCUAAUACCUAUGGAAAGUUUAUAAUGCUUUGUUUACUGCACUCCAUGGCAAAACAAGACCUCAUAAACUCCCAUUGUACUUGUAGGAGAAUUUCUUUGGAAUAACUUUAUUUUGGAACCUUGUUUUUGUCACUGGCAAAUGCUUUCCUUCUCUGAGAAGUAUGCACAAUUCUUGCCAUCCCUAGGUGAUGCAUUCAGGAUGCUGUCUGGAGUUCAGAAGUGGCUUUCAGACAAAAUUAGAAAUGUUUUCUCUUAUAUCCACAGACACUUGAGAUUUGUUCGUUGAAGAUCAAUGUAGCUGUUAUGGAUAGGAAAGAGUGAGUUUUCUGUUCAGGCGGAAACCAGCCAUUCAGUAACAAGAAAGAAAACGUACUUAGUGCUUGUGUGCCUCAAGGGACUGUUGUAUCUUACUAAAUAUUUCGUAACAUCUCUAUCAUUUAAGAUAUUCAAAGCCUGAGUGGACAUGGCUGUAAGAACUCUGGUCUGACUGGCCCUGCUUUCAGCAGGAGGUUGAUCUGGUUGUUCUCCAGUAGGGCCUUCCAGCCUCAACUACUUGAUGAAUCUUUGUAAUAACUUCUGUACGAUAAUCUUUAAAAUCCAGUGGAUAACUAGUUUACAUAUAUACAUUUCUUUUCUCAUCCACAUUACAGCUGCUAAUGAAACUCAUUUGGGAUGCUUGUAAAUGAAGAUUUAAAAAGCCUCAUUUAAGAUUCAGUUUUUUUCUGAUUUUUAAAUUCUAACUUCAGAUGAAAACAACUUGAGGAUUAUUGUUUCCUUAGAAAAGUUAAAAUGCUUUCUGUUUUUUCUUUCUGUAUUUGUGUGUAAUUUACUUCAUAUCUCAAUAAGAGGCUAGUUUUGCUAAAUAUAAUCUGCAGGGCUUCCCAGUAAGUUAGGAAAGAGACCACUGUGCCUCCUUAUGCAGAAUUCAGUAGCAGAACUAGCUGACUGUGAGCCACUGUAUGAGAUAUUUGACCCUGAGCUGCUGAGAAUUGUUCCUAUAUUCUUAUCAAUCUAGAAACAGAGGAUGGAAAAUGGCAAUUCUUUUUCAUCCUUGAACUCUCUAUACUAAAUGCCCAACACUAUUGGUAAUAGAUAUCAGAUUUUAUAUUUUCUGGCUUUUCUGGAUGAAAAACAGUGAAUUUUAUAGUCUUUUCAACAACAAUCUAAUCUGGGGCCAACUGGAUGUGGCUUCAUAGCAAUUAAAAUACUGAAGUUUACAAGUUGAUUAUGGA